AAGCAAAGCCGCGAGGUAGGAGCAAAUCUCAAAAAAACAAUCUCAGUUCAGACUGCAGGCUGCAACUCGCCUGCACGAAGUCGGAAUUGCUAGUAAUCGUAGGUCAGCAUACUACGGUGAAUACGUUCCCGGGCCUUGUACACACCGCCCGUCAAACCAUGAGAGUUGGCAACACCCGAAGUCGGUAGUCUAACCGCAAGGAGGACGCCGCCGAAGGUGGGGUUGAUGAUUAGGGUUAAGUCGUAACAAGGUACC
rnacentral:rRNA from 1 species